AGUCAUUAACUCUACUGAAUGGAAGGCUUCUUGUGUUAUGGACAAAUGGAAGCUUUGCCAGGAAGGGAGAGCUGCACACGAAAUCUUCCUGCCUGGGUCUGGAGUAACUGCCAUUUUCCACUUGUCAACGCUGGAUCUCAUCACAUCUGGUAGAUGGAGUGAAUUCUACCACAUUUUUUCUUCCUUUGUUUUGAAAAGAGAUUUAUUCUGAUAAAAUUCAUGCUCAUUAUAUAUAUUGAAAUAUACAAAGAAUAAAGUAAAAUACAACUGUUGGGGUGAACAUCCUUCCAGACAGCUCUCUUUGUGCACCUAUUAAAAUAUUACACAAAUGGGA